rnacentral:rRNA from 1 species
AACCAGCACCUCAAGUGGUCAGGAUGAUUAUUGGGCCUAAAGCAUCCGUAGCCUGUUCUAUAAGUUUCCGGUUAAAUCCAUACGCUCAACGUAUGGGCUGCCGGAAAUACUGCAGAACUAGGGAGUGGGAGAGGUAGACGGUACUCGAUAGGAAGAUGUAAAAUUCUUUGAUCUAUUGAUGACCACCUGUGGCGAAGGCGGUCUACCAGAACACGUUCGACGGUGAGGGAUGAAAGCUGGGGAGCAAACAGG